rnacentral:rRNA from 1 species
UACGAAGGGGGCAAGCGUUGUUCGGAUUUACUGGGCGUAAAGGGCGCGCAGGCGGCUCGCCAAGUCAGAUGUGAAAGCCCCGGGCUCAACCUGGGAACUGCAUUUGAGACUGGCGAACUCGAGUUCGGGAGAGGAUGGCGGAAUUCCCAGUGUAGAGGUGAAAUUCGUAGAUAUUGGGAAGAACACCGGUGGCGAAGGCGGCCAAUCUGGACCGAGACUGACG